GCCUUGUCCGAGUGCAGUGGUGUUUACAAUUAAUUGAUGACAAUUAGUUACAGAUUUUUUUAUUCUUUCCCCAUUCCAUUGCUUCACUUGACUAGUUAA
rnacentral:Y_RNA from 1 species